CCUACGGGAGGCAGCAGUGAGGAAUAUUGGACAAUGGGCGCAAGCCUGAUCCAGCCAUGCCGCGUGCAGGAAGACGGUCCUAUGGAUUGUAAACUGCUUUUAUACAGGAAGAAACACCUCUACGUGUAGAGACUUGACGGUACUGUAUGAAUAAGCAUCGGCUAACUCCGUGCCAGCAGCCGCGGUAAUACGGAGGAUGCAAGCGUUAUCCGGAAUCAUUGGGUUUAAAGGGUCCGUAGGCGGUUUAAUAAGUCAGUGGUGAAAGCCCAUCGCUCAACGAUGGAACGGCCAUUGAUACUGUUAAACUUGAAUUAUUAGGAAGUAACUAGAAUAUGUAGUGUAGCGGUGAAAUGCUUAGAGAUUACAUGGAAUACCAAUUGCGAAGGCAGGUUACUACUAAUAUAUUGACGCUGAUGGACGAAAGCGUGGGGAGCGAACAGGAUUAGAUACCCUGGUAGUCCACGCCGUAAACGAUGGAUACUAGCUGUUCGGAGCAAUCUGGGUGGCUAAGCGAAAGUGAUAAGUAUCCCACCUGGGGAGUACGUUCGCAAGAAUGAAACUUAAAUGAAAUUGAGG
rnacentral:rRNA from 1 species